rnacentral:piRNA from 1 species
CAGAUGGUAGGAGAUUGGGGGGG